rnacentral:lncRNA from 1 species
UCUUUUUCAAUCUCAUUCUUUUCUUUCUCUCCAUUCUCUUGGCAGACCGACUUUCCCCCAUUUUCAGAAAUCAGAGCUUUCACUAAGCUCAUGCAAAAUCGGUAAGACCCCCCUCCCUCUCUUGCUCGCUCGCUCCCUCCCUCCCCAUCUUUCUCCCUUUUCUGAUUUUACCUUAAAUGUCUAAAAAUCUAGGGUUCCUCCAUGCCUAGUAAUAAAUGUUUGUAAUCUUUUCCAGUUGAUGUAAUUUAUGUUUUGGUAGCUAGAUUUUAUUUUCCAGUUGCUCUUUUAAUACGGACUAAAGUUUUUCGAAAUUUUUCUUUAGUUUUUGUUAUUAGUUUUGAGUUGGUGGAUGGAUUAUUGAUGAUCUUUUUGAGUUCCCUCCACUGGAACGAGGAAAUCAGAUCUUUGAUUGAAACUUCUCAGUUUUAGGAGAAUCUCUUUACUUCUUGCUGACAAUUUCCAACUAGUAUCAUGCCAUUGUCUCAAUAUGAGAAUGAUAUGGACAGUGAAUUUACCUUAUUCUGCCAAAAUAAGUCAUUAGUGUUUUCUAAUGAGAAUUUGUAAAUGAGCGUUGUUAACGUGUUAGAUUACAGGAAUGUGUUGGUGUAAUGGUAUUACCGAUGGGGUUUAUUUUGCAUUACUUCUUGAUUCUAAUAGAAGUAGAGCUUGUUUUGCCCUUACCUUCGUGAAAUUACAGCAGAGGAUUCUCUUGUUUUUUACCGUAUUUUCGGGCUUAGAUGUCUGAUAAUGGGACUGUCUCUUUAUCUUUCUCCACUUAAAUAAAGGUUGUUGUCUGUGGUAGGGUUUGAACCUAUGGUGUGCAUUUGAUCUACUGAAAAUCAAAGUCCUGGAGUCUACGGUGAAGCCAUUUUUCAGCUUCUCAAAUCAGGUUAUAAUUCUUGAGGUAACUUCAUUUGCUAAUCUCUAAGUUGGUUUCAGUUGUUAAAUACAAGUUAAGCUGUUAAAUUGCUAGAACAACUACAUAAAUUUAUAUUGCUUUUACCUUGAUAAAAAAAUCCUUUAUUGUAAAUAUUAUAUUUAUCCUCCAAGUUUAAAUUUAUUUAUGGAUGAUAGCAAAUCUGUUAGAAUCUUGGUUUGACUUUUUAAACUGAUUCCAAGAACUUAAUAGGAGCAUUUUUAUGAAAAAGUACUUUUCAUUCAUAGUAACUUGAUCUAGAACUAUAGUUUUUUCUUUACUUAUAAAAAGACGAAUAAAAGUUAGUUCUUUAAGGUAUACUAUUCAUAAUUAAUUUUAAACUAAGUGAGUUCUUUAAGGUAUACUAUUCAAGAUUGAUUGCAAACUAACUUGAAACAAAUAAAUCGUUCUAAGUCUAUUCAUUUGUUUGUGUGUAUUUGUUUACUAGAUGGAACGUGAACAUCGUAGAUGGAUGUACGAUAGGAAUCGUCCUAAUCGUUGUGGAUUAAAGGAAGAAUUUGUUGAAGGUGUUAAAGGAUUUAUUGCUCAUGCAAAAAUGCUUCCUGAAUUUCGUAACGAAGGAAUAAUUAGGUGUCCUUAUGUGAAAUGCAAGUGUACAAAGUUAUUGCAAUCGGAAAUGUUAAAGUUCAUCUUUAUAGCAAGGGGUUUAGGGAAAAUUAUUAUGUGUGGACCGUUCAUGGAGAGAACUAUUGUAGUGUUGGUGAUUUUUAUUUUCAAAAUCUAGUUAGUGGUGAGAGAAGUACACAAAUGGAGAAUAAUGUUGAGAAUUCUCAAUUACAUGAAAUGGUGUCAGAUGCUUUUGGUUUUUACUCAGGGUUUCAAUCCCAACAAAAUGUUGUUGAGCCUCCCAAUGAUGAGGCAAAGCGCUUCUAUGAAUCAUUAGAAUCGGCUAGUCGUCCACUCUAUAAAGACUCAAUGCACUCUGAGUUAUCUGUUGCAGUUAGAUUACUAACUAUUAAAUCAUAUUGAAAUAUUUCUCAAGCGGGCAUGAAUGCUAUAAUUUGGCUCAUGUGUGAAAUUAAUCCUAGCAUUAACUUACCCAAUGAUUACUAUAAAGCAAAGAAAUUAGUUUCCAAGUUAGGACUUUCCUCAACAAAAAUUGAUUGUUGUGAAAAUGGUUGUAUGUUAUUGUAACGACCUGACUGGUCGUUUUGCUUUUUAGAAUACCGUUCCCCUAAAUAAAAUUUCCAGCUCUUGCUUUAACUAACUUACGACCUGCGGGAAGAAUUGGUUCGGGAUUUGGAAGGAAUUGGGUUGAAAUAUGCUCAUUUGAUUCCUUAAGAUUUUCUUUAAAGCCUAAGUUUGACUUUGGUCAAUAUUUUUAGGGUUUAAAAGGCGAUUUGAUCGCUCGAGCUAGUUUGUACAAUGUUGUUGGACUGGUGUGGGAGUUCGGAGUGGAUCCCCGAGGGCUCGGGUGAGUUUUGGGCAUGGGUUUGGGGUGAAAAGCACCCCAGUUUUCUGGUGUUUCUGUGAGAAAUUGCAGGUCUCGCAAAUGCGAGGAAUUUGUUUGCAAUUGCGACCUCGCAUUUGCGAGGAAACCACCGCAAUUGCAAUAAAGGCAGCAAGUGGGCAGCGUCGCAUUUGCGACAAUUUCACUGCAAUUGCGAACCCUACAGGGUCCGCAUUUGCGACCCCAGGAUCGCAUUUUGCGAUGAAAGUAGGAAGGGAGGCAGUUUGCAAUUGCGAAGAUUUUGUGGCAAUGGUGAGUUCGCAUUUGCGAACCUGAUGUCGCAAAUGCGACAUCAGAGACCUGAGCACAACUUUUAAAAACAAGACUUAGGCCAUUUAUUUCAUUUUAUCUCCACACUUGGGCGAUUUGGGAGCUUUCAAAGAGGGGAUUUCAACAUAGCAUUGUGAGGUAAGUUAAUUCUACUUAAUGUGAGUUUAAUACUUGGGUUUUGGGUAGAUUAAUGCACAAAUAUUUGUGAAAACUAUGGGAUUAGGGCAAGACCUAGGGUUUUGAUAAAAUUUAGAUUUAACCACGAAAUUUGUUAUGAAAUGAAUUAGAAAUCAUAUAUUAUUGAUCCUUAGGUUAUAGAGAACAACUUCCUUCGAAAAUUUUUGGAAUCCAGGCAUGUGGGCCUGGGGUCGAAUUUUAGGAAACUGUGUUUAAGGUUGGAAAAUUGCUUAAAUAGCUAGAAUAUGAUCUUGUGAGCUUAUAUUGACUAGUUCCUACCUUAUUUAACUAGUUUUGGAUCGUUCGGCUCCAAAUUGAGUGUUUGGGCUCGUUCUUGGUAUUGAAAAUACACUUUGGAGCGAGGUAGGUCUCCAAGAGUGUAAUAAUUGAAUAAUUUGCUACUAAAUACGGGGACUACGUACGCACUAGGUGACGAGAGUCCGUGCGUAGCUACUAUUAUGUUAAUUGUCCGGGUAGUCUAGGGCUCGUAUCAUGCUAUAUUUGUGAAUGUCUCUAUAUUUUCUUGCUAAUGUGAUCACUUAGGAUAUGCUAGAAACUUGGAAAGGAAUAUAAGCAAAUGUAUACACUUGUUGGACACUUGUAUGAAUUUUUUUGAAAAUAAAUGUGCCUUCAUGUGUUUUUCUUGGUAUUAAUUGAUAUUUGUGGAUUGGGCCGAUCGCCUAGGUAGAAAUAAAUGCAUCUAUGGCUCGCUCCAUUCGACCCUCUGGCAGUACACAGUUUAUUUUCUGUUAGAUCGGGCUGUCGACCUUGGCAUAAUGUGCGCAUGAUAUCUACGUGAAAUCUUAUCCAUGACUUGUUCUGCUAAAUAUUUGAAAUGUAAAUGGCUAACUGUAAAAUUGUUAAGAACAUGACUUAUUACCUCUUGCUACAAACUGUUGAUUAUUUCUGACUCCCAUGCUUAGAAUAACACUUUAUUAUAUUAUUUGGCCUUAGUAAGUAUCAAGUCGACCUCUCGUCUCUACUUCUUCGAGAUUAGGCUGGAUACUUAUGAGGUACAUAUUUUUUAUGUACUCAUACUACACUUUUGUACUUAAUUGUAUAGGAUCUAAGGCAGGUACAUCUGGCUAUCAGUCUGGUGCGCGCCCCUGAUUCAUAGUCCGAGACUUCCACGGUGAGCUGCCCCUUCCUGUGCCGUCUAGCAGCCUG